rnacentral:lncRNA from 1 species
GGAUUACCUGCAGAGCCCGCUGCAGGUGGGCUCCCAGUUCAGCCCAGUUCAGCCCAGUUCAGCCCAGUUCAGCCCAGUGACCUCCCAGUUCAAUCCCAGUUCAAUCCCAGUUCAUCCCAGUGACCUCCCAGUUCAUCCCAGUUCAUCCCAGUUCAAUCCCAGUUCAAUCCCAGUUCAAUCCCAGUUCAAUCCCAGUUCCAUCCCAGUUCAUCCCAGUUCAAUCCCAGUUCAUCCCAGUUCAUCCCAGUUCAAUCCCAGUUCAGCCCAGUUCAUCCCAGUCCAUCCCAGUUCAUCCCAGUUCAUCCCAGUCCAUCCCAGUUCAAUCCCAGUUCAAUCCCAGUUCAUCCCAGUCCAUCCCAGUCCAUCCCAGUUCAGCCCAGUAACCAAAAAUCCCAAACCAGGAAAAUCGGGAUUUUUGGCUGAAUCUUGACAAAAAAAAUGGGAAUUUCGUGGAAUUUUGGGUGAAAAUUCCGGGAAUUUCUGUGGAAUUUUGGGUGAAAAUCCCGGGAAUUUUGGGGAAUUUUGGGUGAAAAUCCCGGGAAUUUUGGGUGAAAAUCCCGGGAAUUUUUUGUGGAA